UUUGUUCGGUAUCUCUGGAAUGGUAAUUGCCAAUUUUAGAAUUCUUAAUGAGUUGAUAGGGCCGGUAUUGUUCAUCAUAUCUAGCAUUACAUUGCACAUCUGGGUCUCAUAAAUAAAGCCAAAACGUAAUGCCACACAAUGAAUCUGCUUUCCAAUCCACAAAUCGGAAUUCUCAGAACAAGCAGCAAGAGCACUAGUGAGUGCAACCACAUUUGGCCUCAUUGUACUCAUAAUAGAAAAAGCUUCUUUAUACUUCUUAUUCUGAACACACCCAGAAAUUAAAGAAUUUUUCAUAACGGGAUCAACUCUACCAUUGAAACCAUUAAAAACAUUCAUGGCCUCACUAAUGCACCCUACAGCUGAGUAAAAAUCAAUAAGGGCAGUACUCAAAAAUACCAAAUCACGUCCCAAAACAACAACCAAACCAUGUACUUGCUUGCCUAGUCGAAAUGCCUUCAACAGGGCACAAGCUUUAAGUACAGAAGAUAAGGGGGCGAAGGAGGAUGAAGAGAGUAAAUUCAUAUGCAUUGUAGGGUUAGGUGUCUAGCGAAGUAGUCUUUUUUUUUUUUUUUUUGGCAUUGCAUGGGCCAAGAAUUAAUUGAUAGAAGAAAUUGUUGUCCUGUAAGUAAUUCAUGAAUUAAUUGAAUUGUGAAGGACAUGAACGUGGGAAGCAAUAAGAGAGCAACAUAUCACGUUUAAUGGAAACCACAUGCUAUGUCUCAUCUUCCUUACUAAAUGGAAAUGAAAUUGACACCCAAAAUGAAACUUCAUAGGUGAAUAAUCAAAGUCUUUAACUUAUAAAAUAAGAUACAGUAAUAUUUAUAAAUUAAAAUAUCAUAUUUAAAUCCAGUACAUGGUAAAAUCAGAUUUAAUGUUUUGUAUCUGCAUAGUUUUUAAUUGUUUGCUUCUAGUAAAAUGCUAGUUUUAUUUUUAUUUUUAGUUUGUGCCAAGAUUCUUGAUGAGGAGCCAGAGAUUGAAACAGAUGUAGAGGCUGUAGAGGUAUAUAGUUUUAGUUUAUAUUAUCUUGUCAAGAAUUUAUUAAGUUGAAUUGUUAAAACAUGUUUUUAUUAAUUUUUUUUUUGUUUAUGUUGUUAUAGGUUUAUGAAGAAUCUUAGAAUGUGCAUCAAUGGUGAUGGCUACAAGUUUAUGUUGAAGACUUAAAAUUAUUUUGAUUUGUCGUAUAAAAUUUAAUCAUUUGUAAUUAUGUUGAAGGCUUAAAAUUAUUAUGUUUUUAUUUAUGUGGAGGUUGUUAAAAUUUGAUCACUUGUAAUUUUAUUUCUAAUAUGAAAUUUGAUUAUUUGUAAUUUUAUUUCUAAAUAUGGAGGUUGUUAGAAUUAUUAUUAUUUAAGAAAAAAGGAAAAUUGAAAUAUUUAGAAAUUAUUAUUUAAAAAAUGGGGAUCGGGUCCCCGUUUUAAUCCCCGCUCAAUUCGGGGAUUUUCGG
rnacentral:lncRNA from 1 species